rnacentral:rRNA from 1 species
AUACGGAGGAUCCGAGCGUUAUCCGGAUUUAUUGGGUUUAAAGGGUGCGCAGGCGGCCAUUUAAGUCAGCGGUUAAAUCGUGGGGCUCACCCCCAUUCUGCCGUUGAUACUGGGUGGCUUGAUUGCGGUCGAGGUUGGCGGAAUUCGUUGUGUAGCGGUGAAAUGCAUAGAUAUGACGAAGAACACCGAUUGCGUAGGCAGCUGACCAGACCGCAAAUGACGCUCAUGCACGAAAGUGCGGGGAUCGAACAGGAUUAGAUACCCUGGUAGUCCGCACAGUAAACGAUGAAUACUUGUUUUCGGCGAUAUAAUGUCGGAGGCAAAGCGAAAGCGAUAAGUAUUCCCCCUGGGGAGUACGCCGGCAACGGUGAAACUCAAAGGAAUUGACGGGG